GCUUGUCUCAAAGAUUAAGCCAUGCAGGUGUAUGUAUACACAACUUUAUACUGUGAAACUGCGAAUGGCUCAUUAUAUCAGUUAUAGUUUAUUUGAUAGUCCCUUACUACUUGGAUAACCGUAGUAACUCUAGAGCUAAUACAUGCGCAAAUUCCCGACUGUCGCAAGGCGGAAAGGAUGUAUUUAUUAGAUCCAACCAGCCCGGUUCGCCGGAGUCCCUGGUGAGUCAUAAUAACUGAGCGAAUCGCAUGGCCUUGUGCCGGCGAUGGUUCAUUCAAGUUUCUGCCCCAUCAGCUUUCGAUGGUAGUGUAUUGGACUACCAUGGCUAUUACGGGUAACGGAGGAUUAGGGUUCGAUUCCGGAGAGGGAGCCUGAGAAACGGCUACCACAUCUAAGGAAGGCAGCAGG
rnacentral:rRNA from 1 species